ensembl:misc_RNA Metazoa_SRP Metazoan signal recognition particle RNA
GCCGGGCAUGGUGGCGCACGCCUGUAAUCCCAGCUACUCGGGAGGCUGAGGCAGGAGAAUCGCUUGAACCCAGGAGGCGGGGGUUGUAGUGAGCCGAGAUCGCGCCACUGCACUCCAGCCUGGGUGACAAAGCGAGACUCCGUCUCAA